AUGGAUAAUUUGGUUCCUGAGACACAGAACUGCCCGGUCCUGCCUGCUGGGGAGUUUCCCUCACUGCAUGAACACGAGAAUGAAAUCUCUGUGGCUUUUCCUUUCCCUGUCUCUGCCCCCUCCUGUGUCCUGUCCCAGGUGCAGCUGGUCCAGUCCGGCCCGGGGGUGGUGAAGCCGGAAGCGACCCUCAGCAUCACCUGUAAAGUCUCUGGAGUCUCUGUCAGUGAUCACUACUGGCACUGGAACCGGCAGCCCCCCGGGAAAGGGCUGGAGUGGAUGGGCUUUAUCCGGAGCACUGAACGGGGAGGGACCACAGAGUAUAACUCGGCUCUCAAGCCUCGUGUCACCAUCACCAGGGACACCUCUAAAAACGAAGUUUAUCUCCAGCUCGGCUCGCUGACAGCUGCAGACACCGGCACCUAUUACUGCGCCAGGGAAGCCACAGUGACACAGAGCAGAGCAGGGACUGGUACAAAAAGGAGAAGCGAAUUUCGUAAUAAUCACCCGACAUCAUGUAGGGGAUGAGACAGACAGGCGGGGCAAUACCGACAGGGGAUCUCAGGAGCCACCCGCUGUUCUCCGCGUGCGUCCACCCUCCCAGCCCCUUCCGCCAAGGGAUGUUACACGCUCGCUUCCCUGCGCUUCCCACUGAAAUGUGCACCGGGGACUCACUGACACCGUGGUAACGGUGACAUGAACGGUGAGAUACUCCGGGCCUCAAUACCAAAGCAUGUUCCGCGCCUGCAUCGCUGAGUGACGUCAGUCACAGCUCUGGGCGAUUAUCCACUUCUGGGAAUCCGGCUCCCUGGGACUCGCGCUGGGACCCGAACAAUUCACAAUCCCAGACUCAGACACCGCUUUAGGAAACGUUGCCCCAGGGGAACUAGUGCCAGAGGCGCUAAGCGGGCACUGCUCUGCCUGAAGUCAGUGAGACC